UGGGAUGGUGAGGUGGAGAGCAGUUCGCAAGCGGAGCCAUGAACAAAAGACACCUUGUCAGGCCUGGAAGCUAGCUGCAA
rnacentral:SRP_RNA from 14 species